AGCAGAUUUUGGCCUCAGGAUCGGCUCUGAUGUUAGAGGAUAACUUGGAAAAAGAGCAGUUAUUUUCUUAUCACCUAUGACUUCCAAAAUCCUUGAUCUUAAACAUUGCCGGCAGACAUUCCAAGACGUCCAGGGGAUGCCUGAAAGCCCACAUGGUACCGAAUGCUGUUUCUCCUAUACAUACAGACCUGUGAUGAAGCUUAAUUUGAAGAGAGACGAGAGAGAGUGCUGACCUCAAUUUCAUUUACUGCUAACAUCUACCAAUUACUGAGCAUGUAACUUUUGCCAGGUGCACGGUGAGCAUUAGUUCUGAUCUUCACAAGGAUCCUGCAAGUUAAUGACGACCCCAUUUUAAAGAUAAAGAAUCUGAGAAUUUCAGAGGAUUAUCAAGAAAAGGAAGUCAAUUUUAUAAAUGAAUUUUCAUUAAUGGUUUGGAGUUAUAUGCCAAUAAGACAUUUAUUUGGUGAAG